AAAAACUGGAACUUGAUUGAAGCCGGAACAGGAUGCAGAGAAUGACCGGAACUGGAUGUUAACCAGUUAGGAUAACCAGAAACGUUUCCUUUGCUGCUUAAGCUCGGCUGUCCUGGAUCUUGCUCUGUAGACCUGGCUGGCCUUGGACUCAGACACUUGCAUGACUUUAUCUCCGGAAAGCUAGGAUUAAAGACCAGGCUGGGCACCCAGAGCACCUCCAUGAAACUAGGGGCCAGGAAGAACAGAAGAUGGUACAGGUACAACGGGAAAGUGUUCAGCUGAGCACACCACCAGAGGAUUUGUUUGGGCCUUCCCAGUCUUUGAGAUCUGCCUGUCUCUGCCUCCCAAGUGGCUGUGCCACCACUGCCUAGCACAAGACACUGUCUUAAAAUUCUGAACAUUGAAUUUAAGCUAUUUGUAAUCUCUAAUGACUCCUUAACUGUUCUUCCUGCUUUGAGUGGCAGUUCUUUUAUGGACAGACUGUGAAGAAGAUGGCUUUGGCCAGGCCAAGGGUCCUACUGUGGCCUGUAGGUGGAGCCAGUGAUGGCACAGAGCCCAGGCAAAUCUCUGAGAACCAGAAAAUGCCCCUCACAAGACACAAAGUCUAUCCUUGUGAGGACUGUGGGAGAGCCUGAUGUGCUAAUGCCUUUGAGUGGAGACUGGUGUUGAGGAGAGCACCUGCAAGUGUGACGACACUGGGAAAGCAUCUUAGAGAAAUGUGCAGAGUCCUAGCAGGACAAAAAUCCUGAAAUGUAUGAAAUGUGGACGCUUUUUCCUGUUUCUCCUCCUUGAAGGGACACACAAGAGGUCACAGAGCAAAGUCAUGCAUGUGACCCACUCAACGUGGGAGAGCCUUUAGCUUCUACUUCUGUCUUAAAGGACACACGAGGACGCACAAGUGUAAAGUGUGUGGGAGAGCCUUUGGCUGUCACUCAUCUUCCCGAGAUGACCACACAUGUGUCGUGAGUGGAGCAGAGCCUUCUGGUACUCUGUGUCCCCGAGGGCACACUGGAUGACACAUUUGGGAACCAGUCCUUACUAUGUGAGCAGUGUGGGAAAACCUUCCACUCCCAAGCCUACUUCCAGACACACCUGAAGAUGCACGCUGGGGUGAAGCCACACGCACGUGCACAGUGCUGUAGGGCCUUCAGCUUCUCAGCAUCCCUCAACAUCCACAUGAGGACACACAUCAGAGAGAGACUCUACAGAUGCCAGCAAUGUGGGAAAGCCUUCACUUCUCAGUCUUCCCUUCAAGAGCACAUCAGGAUGCAUAGCAGAGAGAAGCCUCAGACGUGUGAGCUGUGUGACAAAGCCUUCAGUCCCUUUCAAUAUUUCCAGAAGCACCUAAGAUUACACAGGGAGGAAAGGCCCGCCUGUGCAGCAGGUGUGCGUGCAGCAAGUGUGGGAAAGCCUGUCAUUCUUCCUAGUCCCAGUGCACACGUGAGGACACGUACUGGGGAAAGACCCAUCCCUUCGAGGACGUGAAAAUUCAUGCUAGACAGAACCUGUAAGGGGCUCCAAGGAGCCACCCAUGAAGUGUGACCUUGUUGUAGGGUUUUGGACAAGCAUAGCCCAGGGCCUUGGCCUCAUCCCACACAGAAAGAAGACCAUGCAUAUGAGAAGUGUCCUCUACUGAGUGGAAAAAAGCACUCUGGGAAAGGGCCUCACUCACUUGGAGGACCUGGGAAAACCUUAGCUGUAUCACUUCAUUUAUUUUCUCCAAGCUCCUUGAGGAAGGAUUCCGCUAUGAGAUAGACUCAUGCUUCAGCCCUCUGCCCCCACCUCUGUCUCCCACGUGCUUGGACUCUGCAUGUACACAAAACACACCUUGCCCUCUCAAUUUCUAAAACAAAAUAAAACAACAAACAAAAACAGUUUAUUUUAUUUUUA